AUCCAGGUGACGAGUCCCAAACAGGACGAAACGCGCGUCCUGGAU
rnacentral:hammerhead_ribozyme from 1 species